rnacentral:rRNA from 1 species
GACGAACGCUGGCGGCGUGCUUAACACAUGCAAGUCGAACGGAGCACCUUUGAAAGAAACUUCGGUCAAUGGAUGAGACUGCUUAGUGGCGGACGGGUGAGUAACGCGUGAGGAACCUGCCUUUCAGAGGGGGACAACAGUUAGAAAUGGCUGCUAAUACCGCAUAAGCACACAGGACCGCAUGGUCCGGUGUGAAAAACUCCGGUGGUAUGAGAUGGACCCGCGUCUGAUUAGCUAGUUGGUAAGGUAACGGCUUACCAAGGCGACGAUCAGUAGCCGACCUGAGAGGGUGACCGGCCACAUUGGGACUGAGACACGGCCCAA